GAUAGAUCAUGUAGCCUGUCCAACACGACUGAAUAGUACAUAUACAAUUGUUUCUACAAGAGACCAGAUCUAUACGAUGGAUACAGUCAAGUGGUCGUUGGCAUUUGCGUAUCUCAUUCAGGAAAUAGUUGCUCUUCAAUGUCCCAGAACGAAUUCAUCGACAGCAACGUGUCCUACAUCAUGUUGUGAUAGUUCCUUUUGCUGUGCUGGCGAGUGUUGUGACUCCGUAUGCUGCGCUCAAUAUGAGAUCAAGGAGAUUUUGAUGCGGUACUACUACGUAUUUCCGAUUUUCGUCGUUGUAUGCGCCACAAUAGUGAUCAUUUGGAACCACCGUGACGCCUGCAGGCGGGAAACUUCCCGAGUUCGGCCAAAGGUAUCAAAACCGAGACGAAUAAUGGUAAAGGAGCGCUCGAGUCAAUCAAUAACGAAGACUUCAUCGAAAAUCCCCGAACAUUCCAGUGCCGACCUUCCCGGAGC